rnacentral:rRNA from 1 species
UACGUAGGGGGCAAGCAUUAUCCGGGUUUACUGGGUGUAAAGGGAGCGUAGACGGCAGAGCAAGUCCGGAGUGAAAGCCCGGGGCCCAACCCCGGGACUGCUCUGGAAACUGUUAAGCUGGAGUGCGGGAGGGGCAGGCGGAAUUCCUGGUGUAGCGGUGAAAUGCGUAGAUAUCAGGAGGAACACCGGCGGCGAAGGCGGCCUGCUGGACCGUGACUGACGUUGAGGCUCGAAAGCGUGGGGAGCAAACAGG